rnacentral:rRNA from 1 species
UACGUAGGGGGCAAGCGUUGUCCGGAAUUAUUGGGCGUAAAGGGCGCGUAGGCGGCUGUACAAGUCAAAGGUGAAAUCCCUCGGCUCAACUGAGGAACUGCCUUUGAAACUGUACGGCUUGAGGCCGGGAGGGGGUAGCGGAAUUCCCAGUGUAGCGGUGAAAUGCGUAGAUAUUGAGAGGAACACCUGCGGCGAAGGCGGGUUGCUGGGCUGAUACUGACGCUGAGGCGCGAAAGCCAGGGGAGCGAACGGG